rnacentral:rRNA from 1 species
GUGGAUUAGAUACCCUGGUAGUCCACGCCGUAAACGAUGGGCACUAGGCGCUUGGGGGAGCGACCCCCCGAGGGCCGGCGCUAACGCAUUAAGUGCCCCGCCUGGGGAGUACGGCCGCAAGGCUGAAACUCAAAGGAAUUGACGGGGGCCCGCACAAGCGGUGGAGCAUGUGGUUUAAUUCGACGCAACGCGAAGAACCUUACCUAGGCUUGACAUACACGGGAAACCCUCGAGAAACCGGGGGCCCUCUUCGGAGCCUGUGCACAGGUGCUGCACGGCCGUCGUCAACU